UACAAGCAUGAAUAACUCCCAACUAUUAAAAAAUGGUCUAAAGAUUUUUCAAUGUCAGGCUAAAAGUUGGUGGCCGCUAUCCAAGAAACCAGAAAAACCAGUUUAGAAUGGGACCCCAACCUGGGGGACUCUCCCAAGGAGACCAAUGAAACUGUGUCUUUGGGAAGUUCCUCCAGGGAAAAAUAAGCCCCCUUCGUUUGUCUGUGUUCCCUCAACUCUUUUCAGCUUUCAUGAACAGGACCACCUCAGAAAAAAGAAGUGCCCACCCCAGGUGAAUUGACAUCCUGUUCCUCCUGAGCCAGAUUUUUACCAUGGACUCCUUGACCCACUCAGUUUCUAAAAAGGGGACUCCAAACUGCUUGCCCACUGCACAUCACCCCCUUUCAGCUGGAAGUAGCAAGAACGGUCAUCGCCCUUUUCCCUUACAGCAGCUGGAGGUUCCUAAUAUUAGGGGAAAAAUUACAGUCAACAUAGAUGUUCGCCAAUGUCUAGCUCAGGAAGAUGUACCUGGGAAACUGCUCCCAAGAUCACCCUGGGUGAUCUCCCAGAAAGAGACACUUGCUUCCACAACCCAACUUAUAAGUGGGACAACUCCCCGUUCACCAAAAAUUGUGCUCCCCGGGUCCCACUUCAAACUCCUUGCCUAUAUCUCCAAACUGUCAAUAACUCUGAACUAUGUAACCUACUAUUUUGAUGAAGUAAAGGGAAAAGAACACCUGGACUUAUUAAAAGGCCAGGCCCCACUAAUUUAUCAACAUAGACUGGCUGCCCCCGUUUUAGUUCCCCUCCUGGCUGGUUUGGGAAUAGCUGGAUCUACUGCUUUAGAAACUGCAGCUCUUAUCACAGGAUAUAUAUCAAACAGAUAUAAAUUUAAACUUCAGACAAUUGGUUCCAAAAACCUAUUCUCAUGGUCCCCUUGGUUGACUACCAUCAUUUCAGCCAUAGUUGGGCCCCUAGUCCUUCACCUGAUUGGUAUUACUGUAGGACCCUGCCUCUUACAAACCCUCUUAAACCAUAUACACAAAAGAAUGUAGAUGGGGUCAGACUUAUGGUCUUGCGAGCCCAGUAUAGUCCCUUAGACACAGAAGGAUGAAACAAAAACUGAGGCCUAAUGAUGUGCAAGAUUGACAUCAAACCUACUAAAACCAGUGGGGAAUGUGAUAGCAGGAGCAAAUGUGACUCCAUUUUGUUUUAUGACUUCAUCCUGUAGAACAACCAGGCCAAGUAGAAGAGUCAUGACUGGAGCAAGAUGUUCUUUUCCUUUUACUUUAGAAACCUUUAAGAACACGGAACUACCUAAUGGGGCAUUGUUUCUGUAACUAGGGUAACGGGGCUCUGUUUCUGUAACUGGGGUGCCUGGGAUCACUGUGAUUGGUUAGGCUUCCCUCCGCUUGACUGCACUGUCCCGCUUCUGUAACCUGGCUGGCUUGCAUUGGCUAGACCCCCCAACAUCCCUUUUGCGGUUUUCAGGCUUAUAAGGAGUGCCCUUGCAAUUGUUCAGGGCUGAUCAGGGGAACAGCUUUAUGUUCUGGUCAGCCGCCACCGGUGUGCUUCAAUAAAGGCUUGAUACGAUUA